AAAAACCGAAUUGAACAUCGAACCGAAAUCCGAAAAAAAAAAAAAAAAACUGAAAAAAAAUGGAACCAAAUGAAAAUUUGAGUUGGUUGGUUUGAUUUUAUAACCCUAAUACGACGGGCGUUUUUGUCUACUUAUAAGUUAUAACCCUACUCUGCUUUUUUCCUGGGUUUUCUUCCGCGCCAUCUCACUCUCAUCGACUCACUCAUGCCUCAACUCAGUCACCCCCGCGAGCUUCCUCUGGACGUCGACCUCGCCCACCUCGCAGCGACGCUGUCUCUUCUUGGCGUGGACCGCAACCACCUAGCUGUCACCCCCGCGAACUUCCUCUCGCUGUCUUGACAGCCCACCUCGCCCGGCGAAUCGCCCAGCUUGAUUCGCCGAGGUAUGAUUCUGGAAUGGCAAGAUAGAGCCUCUGCUCAAGUUGCUCAAGUUCUGAUGCUAGGAUAGAGCUACAAACAAAUCCAUCCGGCGACGCUGCGUUUUUUCUGUUACUCCACCGUGAGAACAGUCAAAGAAUGAACUCAUAUGUAUGUUGAUCUUCUUUGUUUUCUCUGCUUCUGCUAGCUUUAUAUGUGUCUGCAUCUCCAAAUAGUUAUUCCAUGUUUCUUAUUUUUAUAGGAAGAAAAUCAUUGAAUACAAGGAAAAUUAAAAAGGUUUUGGUCUUUGGAAUGGUUUAAAAUGUUUGUUGUUGAUGGUUCUAAUGUUAUUAAAUAUUUUGAUGCGUAGUUUUAUAAGAAUAAAUGUUUGUUGUU